rnacentral:rRNA from 1 species
CCUACGGGAGGCAGCAGUGAGGAAUAUUGGUCAAUGGACGAGAGUCUGAACCAGCCAAGUAGCGUGAAGGAUGACUGCCCUAUGGGUUGUAAACUUCUUUUAUAAAGGAAUAAAACGAGGCACGUGUGCCUUUUUGCAUGUACUUUAUGAAUAAGGAUCGGCUAACUCCGGGCCAGCAGCCGCGGUAAUACGGGGGAUCCGAGCGUUAUCCGGAUUUAUUGGGGUUAAAGGGAGCGUAGAUGGGUUGUUAAGUCAGUUGUUAAAGUUUGCGGCUCAACCGUAAAAUUGCAAUUGAUACUGGCAGUCUUGAGUACAGUUGAGGUAUGCGGAAUGCGUGGUGUAGCGGUGAAAUGCUUAGAUAUCACGAAGAACCCCGAUUGCGAAGGCAGCUUACUAACCUGUGACUGACAUUGAUGCUCGAAAGUGUGGGUAUCAAACAGGAUUAGAUACCCCUGUAGUC